ACUUAAACCCGAUCAAAGCGGGAUCCCGACUUAAAGUCGGGAGAAGCGGGAGCGGGACUGAAU
rnacentral:sRNA from 1 species